AGAGUUUGAUCAUGGCUCAGGAUAACGCUGGCGGCGUGCCUAAAACAUGCAAGUCGAACGGGCACCUUCGGGUGUCAGUGGCGGACGGCUGAGUAACACGUGGGUGACCUGCCCUCGAGCGGGGGAUAACUGCCCGAAAGGGUGGCUAAUACCGCAAAUGUCGGUGCUUCGGUGUGCUGACUGAACCGUUCAGGGUUCGAGGAGGGGCCCGCGGCCGAUUAGCUUGCUGGUGGGGUAAUGGCCUACCAGGGCUGCGAUCGGUAGCUGGUCUGAGAGGAUGAUCAGCCAGACUGGGACUGCGAGACGGCCCAGACUCCUACGGGAGGCAGCAGUUAGGAAUUUUGGGCAAUGGGGGCAACCCUGACCCAGCAACGCCGCGUGGGUGAUGAAGGCCUUCGGGUCGUAAAGCCCUUUUCCCAGGGACGAUGGUGACGGUACCUGGGGAAUCAGCCCCGGCUAACUACGUGCCAGCAGCCGCGGUAAUACGUAGGGGGCAAGCGUUGUCCGGAUUUAUUGGGCGUAAAGCGCUCGCAGGCGGCUUGCUACGUCGUGCGUGAAACACCCCGGCUCAACUGGGGAGGGUCGUGCGAUACGGGCAGGCUUGAGGCCAGUAGGGGGAUGCGGAAUUCCGGGUGUAGUGGUGGAAUGCGUAGAGAUCCGGAGGAACACCAGCGGCGAAGGCGGCAUCCUGGACUGGUACUGACGCUCAUGAGCGAAAGCGUGGGGAGCGAUCCGGAUUAGAUACCCUAGUAGUCC
rnacentral:rRNA from 1 species